GGCGGACGGGUGAGUAACGCGUAAGGAACUUGCCUCUUGGACUGGGACAACUGUUGGAAACGACAGCUAAUACCGGAUAUUAUGAGAUUCUCGCAUGAGAAACUUAUGAAAGCUAUAUGCGCCAAGAGAGAGCCUUGCGUUCCAUUAGCUAGUUGGUGGGGUAACGGCCCACCAAGGCGACGAUGGAUAGCCGGCCUGAGAGGGUGAACGGCCACAAGGGGACUGAGACACGGCCCUUACUCCUACGGGAGGCAGCAGUGGGGAAUAUUGGACAAUGGACCAAAAGUCUGAUCCAGCAAUUCUGUGUGCACGAUGAAGGUCUUCGGAUUGUAAAGUGCUUUCAGUUGGGAAGAAGCAAGUGACGGUACCAACAGAAGAAGCGACGGCUAAAUACGUGCCAGCAGCCGCGGUAAUACGUAUGUCGCAAGCGUUAUCCGGAUUUAUUGGGCGUAAAGCGCGUCUAGGCGGAAAAAUAAGUCUGAUGUUAAAACGCGGGGCUCAACUCCGUAUUGCGUUGGAAACUGUUUUUCUAGAGUACUGGAGAGGUGGGCGGAACUACAAGUGUAGAGGUGA
rnacentral:rRNA from 1 species